rnacentral:rRNA from 1 species
UACGUAGGGUCCGAGCGUUGUCCGGAUUUAUUGGGCGUAAAGAGCUCGUAGGCGGUUCCGUAAGUCAGAUGUGAAAACUCAGGGCUCAACCCGGAGACGCCAUCUGAUACUGCGGUGACUGGAGUCUGGUAGGGGAACACGGAAUUCCUGGUGUAGCGGUGAAAUGCGCAGAUAUCAGGAGGAACACCUAUGGCGAAGGCAGCUCGCUGGGACGGUACUGACGCUGAGACGCGAAAGCGUGGGGAGCGAACAGG